rnacentral:rRNA from 1 species
UACGUAGGGGGCAAGCGUUGUCCGGAAUUAUUGGGCGUAAAGAGCGUGUAGGCGGUCCGGUAAGUCGGCUGUGAAAACUCGAGGCUCAACCUCGAGAUGUCGGCGGAAACCGUCUGGCUAGAGUCCGGAAGAGGAGAGUGGAAUUCCUGGUGUAGCGGUGAAAUGCGCAGAUAUCAGGAAGAACACCUAUGGCGAAGGCAGCUCUCUGGGACGGUACUGACGCUGAGACGCGAAAGCGUGGGGAGCGAACAGG